AUACUUACCUAGCAGGGACAAUACCACAAUCAAGAAGGCUGUUUCCCCAGGGUGAGGCUGUUCCAUUGCACACUUCGGUCAGGUUGACCUCUGUGAUUUUUCCAAAUGUGGGAACUCAACUGCAUAAAUUAUGGUAGCUCUAACAGGUGUUGUACAUUAAUUUAGGU